UCCGCUGCCAAGGCUGGUUACUUAAUUCAUUCUUGGGGUAGAGCUUGCUUUGCUUACACUGGUAUGUGCCAAUCAUCCCAGGCAACUCUCCAGAAUUUAAUGCAGUUACAAAACGAGGCUCGCUGCAGUCAAGAUACACUGAUGGUGGAGGAAGUAUGUGUUGCAGCAACUCAUAUUCCUGCCGGGCAUGAACAUUGGAAUAACACACAUCAGAGUUGCUGGUGAAUGCAGCAGGCCAGGCAGCAUCUCUAGGAACAGGUACAGUCGACUUCUCGGGCCGAGACCCUUCGUCAGGACAUUGAACAUUGAGAUGUACGUUUUCAGACGUGACUGUCUUUGAUGUCAAGACAACUUUUGAUGGAGAGUUACAAUGAUGAUGCAACAAACAUGCAACUGGAAUAGUAAUCCAGACAUCAACUCAAGUACAAAUCCCACUGUGAAAUCUGAUAAUACCAUUGAAAAUAGCUAUGGGCAGUCCCCGAGUUAUGAACAUCCAACUUACAAACAACUUGUACUUACGAAUGGCCUGCCAUAAAGCCGAUUAUAUGAAAAAUUCGUCAGCUCGAGGAAGGAGAACGCCGUCCAUCAUUUUAAGUUGGAUCACAUUGCCAUUAACACAGUGUUGAGUGUGUAACUUUGUAUUUGGCUUAAAUUUUUCUUAGCAAGAUUCACCCUGACCCCCCUUUUCCAGUCAGCAUUGCCCCCACUUAUCCCUUAUUUAACCUGUCUCAGUCCGGGUGGACUUUAGGACCCGGGGGAAGCUCAGGACCUGCUGCCCGCAGCUGCUGCUGAAUCCGCAGUGUUUCUGUUCCGUUGACGGAAAACGAUCAGGAUUGAAAAUAAAGUGGAAAUAAUAAAAUGAUCAGAAAGAGGUGAAACACCAUCGGUCAUUGGAAAAGCAUUAGUCUACAGUCGGUCAAUGAUUGGAACAAUUUUAAAGGAUAAAGUGAGAAUAAUGGAGCAUGUGAAAGGCCCUGCCGCGAUGAAAGCUACAAUUAUUACUAAGCAAUGCAGUGGUUUAAUUAUUGAAAUACAUACGUUUAAGUAUUUUCUCUGCAUAGAAUGGUAAAAUAUAUACUAUAUACUAAGACAAACGUUUGACUAACUGACGCUAAAUAAGACCAGAUGUACCUGUUCCGACUUACGUACAAAUCCGACUUAAAGACGGGCUCAGGAACGGAUCUCGUUUGUAACCCGGGGACUGCC